AUUGAACGCUGGCGGCAGGCCUAACACAUGCAAGUCGAGCGAGAGGCGGACGGGUGAGUAAUGUAUGGGGAUCUGCCCGGUAGAGGGGGAUAACUACUGGAAACGGUGGCUAAUAGCGCAUACUAUAGUAUGAACCCAUAUGGGAUUAGCUAGUAGGUGGGGUAAAGGAUCACCUAGGCGACGAUCUCUAGUUGGUCUGAGAGGAUGAUCAGCCAAACUGGGACUGAGACACGGCCCAGACUCCUACGGGAGGCAGCAGUGGGGAAUAUUGCACAAGGGGCGCAAGCCUGAUGCAGCCAUGCCGCGUUUAUGAAGAAGGCCUUAGGUUUGUAAAGUACUUUCAGCGGGGAGGCGUUACCCGCAGAAGAAGCACCGGCUAAAUCCGUGCCAGCAGCCGCGUUAAUAC
rnacentral:rRNA from 1 species